rnacentral:lncRNA from 1 species
UGAAAAUUCCUUCAAAUUUCUCUUAAAUCCAAAAUAAUUUAUUUAUAUUUCUUAAUAUCAUUUUAGAUACUCCCUCAACGAAUUUUGUGGAGAUUGAAACAAUGAAAUCCCUACCUCCUUGUUUCUAAGAUGUUACUUGAUGUAGAUGAAAAAAAAAAAACUAUUUAAAGCAGGCCAAUUGAAAUUCCAGAAUUUUGAUAGAUUUUGUUUUGCUGUCCUGGGCAAAAUGUAAUCUUUGAAGAAAAAAUAUAAGUACAUCCACUGAAGAAUCAAGUCAAAAGAGAUAAGGUA